rnacentral:rRNA from 1 species
AAUCUUCCGCAAUGGACGAGAGUCUGACGGAGCAACGCCGCGUGAGGGAUUAAGGUUUNGGGAUGNGNAAACUCUGUUGGUGGGGNGGACCAAGUCUCAGAGUCACUGCCGGUACCUGGCCGGUACCUGACGAGAACGCCACGGCCGACUACGCGACAGCAGCCGGGGUAAUACGGAGGUAGCAAGCGUUGUCCGGAUUUAUUGGGCGUAAAGCGCGCGCAGGCGGUCUUUUAAGUCUGAUGUGAAAUCUUACAGCUUAACUGUAAGCGGUCAUUGGAAACUGGGGGCCUUGAGUGCAGAAGAGGAGAGUGGAAUUACAUGUGUAGCGGUGAAAUGCCUAGAGAUAUGGAGGAACACCAGUGGCGAAGGCGACUCUCUGGUCUGUACCUGACGCUGAGGCGCAAAAGCGUGGGGAUCAAACA